CACGUAGGGCGCGAGCGUUGUCCGGAAUUAUUGGGCGUAAAGAGCUCGUAGGCGGCCUGUUGCGUCCGCUGUGAAAGCCCGGGGCUUAACCCCGGGUCGGCAGUGGAUACGGGCAGGCUAGAGGUAGGUAGGGGAGAAUGGAAUUCCCGGUGUAGCGGUGAAAUGCGCAGAUAUCGGGAGGAACACCGGUGGCGAAGGCGGUUCUCUGGACCGUAACUGACGCUGAGGCGCGAAAGCGUGGGGAGCAAACAGG
rnacentral:rRNA from 1 species